ensembl:misc_RNA Metazoa_SRP Metazoan signal recognition particle RNA
GCUGGGCAUGGUGGUGCAUGCCUGUAAUCCCAGCUACUUGGGAGGCUGAGGCUGGAGAAUCGCUUGAACCUGGGAGGCGGAUGUUGCAGUGAGCUGAGAUUGUGCCACUGUACUCUAGCCUGGGUAACACAGUGAGACUCUGUCUCAA